rnacentral:rRNA from 1 species
GCCGCGUGUGUGAAGAAGGCCUUCGGGUUGUAAAGCACUUUCAGUCGUGAGGAAGGUGGUGUAGUUAAUAGCUGCAUUAUUUGACGUUAGCGACAGAAGAAGCACCGGCUAACUCCGUGCCAGCAGCCGCGGUAAUACGGAGGGUGCGAGCGUUAAUCGGAAUUACUGGGCGUAAAGCGCAUGCAGGUGGUUUGUUAAGUCAGAUGUGAAAGCCCGGGGCUCAACCUCGGAAUAGCAUUUGAAACUGGCAGACUAGAGUACUGUAGAGGGGGGUAGAAUUUCAGGUGUAGCGGUGAAAUGCGUAGAGAUCUGAAGGAAUACCGGUGGCGAAGGCGGCCCCCUGGACAGAUACUGACACUCAGAUGCGAAAGCGUGGGGAGCAAACAGGAUUAGAUACCCUGGUAGUCCACGCCGUAAACGAUGUCUACUUGGAGGUUGUGGCCUUGAGCCGUGGCUUUCGGAGCUAACGCGUUAAGUAGACCGCCUGGGGAGUACGGUCGCAAGAUUAAAACUCAAAUGAAUUGACGGGGGCCCGCACAAGCGGUGGAGCAUGUGGUUUAAUUCGAUGCAACGCGAAGAACCUUACCUACUCUUGACAUCCAGAGAACUUUCCAGAGAUGGAUUGGUGCCUUCGGGAACUCUGAGACAGGUGCUGCAUGGCUGUCGUCAGCUCGUGUUGUGAAAUGUUGGGUUAAGUCCCGCAACGAGCGCAACCCUUAUCCUUGUUUGCCAGCGAGUAAUGUCGGGAACUCCAGGGAGACUGCCGGUGAUAAACCGGAGGAA